UACGAAGGGGGCUAGCGUUGCUCGGAAUCACUGGGCGUAAAGCGCACGUAGGCGGAUUGCUAAGUCAGGGGUGAAAUCCUGGAGCUCAACUCCAGAACUGCCCUUGAUACUGGCGGUCUCGAGUCCGGGAGAGGUGAGUGGAGCUGCGAGUGUAGAGGUGAAAUUCGUAGGUAUUCGCAAGAACACCAGUGGCGAAGGCGGCUCACUGGCCCGGUACUGACGCUGAGGUGCGAAAGCGUGGGGAGCAAACAGG
rnacentral:rRNA from 1 species